UUGGCUCUGUGGAAUUAGUUACCCA
rnacentral:piRNA from 1 species